AGAUUUCCCAUUACGUAAGUAAGUAAGAUCCCUGAAAGAUGAUCAGGUAGAUAGGAUGGAAGUGGAAGUGCUGCGAGGCAUGGAGCGGACCAUUACUAAUCGAUCGAGGACUUAACCAAA
rnacentral:rRNA from 1 species